UACGGCCAUAUCACUCUGAAACAUUGGUUCUCAUCCGAUCACUGAAGUUAAACAACGUCGAGCCUGUUUAGUACUUAGAUGGGUGACCACUUGGAAAUACCGAGUGCUGUA